GCAAUGCGCGUGCUAUACAUGCAGUCGAGCGGACCUUUUAAAAGCUUGCUUUUGAAAGGUCAGCGGCGGACGGGUGAGUAACACGUGGGCAACCUGCCUGUAAGACUGGGAUAACUUCGGGAAACCGGAGCUAAUACCGGAUAAUAUAAGGAACCUCCUGGUUCUUUAUUGAAAGAUGGUUUCGGCUAUCACUUACAGAUGGGCCCGCGGCGCAUUAGCUAGUUGGUGAGGUAAUGGCUCACCAAGGCGACGAUGCGUAGCCGACCUGAGAGGGUGAUCGGCCACACUGGGACUGAGACACGGCCCAGACUCCUACGGGAGGCAGCAGUAGGGAAUCUUCCACAAUGGACGAAAGUCUGAUGGAGCAACGCCGCGUGAGCGAUGAAGGCCUUCGGGUCGUAAAGCUCUGUUGUUAGGGAAGAACAAGUGCGAGAGUAACUGCUCGCACCUUGACGGUACCUAACCAGAAAGCCACGGCUAACUACGUGCCAGCAGCCGCGGUAAUACGUAGGUGGCAAGCGUUGUCCGGAAUUAUUGGGCGUAAAGCGCGCGCAGGUGGUCCUUUAAGUCUGAUGUGAAAGCCCACGGCUCAACCGUGGAGGGUCAUUGGAAACUGGGGGACUUGAGUGCAGAAGAGGAAAGUGGAAUUCCAAGUGUAGCGGUGAAAUGCGUAGAGAUUUGGAGGAACACCAGUGGCGAAGGCGACUUUCUGGUCUG
rnacentral:rRNA from 1 species